CCACCGGGACACCUGGCGGUCGUUUCUAGGGACAAAGAGAGAAAGAGAUGCGGAGGAUCACUUCCCUGUACGGACGAAUUAGUCUUCUUAAGAGACCAACGAAGCAAUCUCACACAUUCAUCGCCUCUCUAUCCUUCUCCACGGUCGGUGGCUACAAGCGCGUACAUCGUGACCGAGCGGCGUUGCUGUCUCGCAAUAAAAACGACACCUUUGUCGACGCUGUUGCAGAGGACCGCUUAGAGGGUACAUUCUGAUCUUUGCUUUUGCUAUUUUUAUAAGGACUGUAAGAAGAGUUUCCCCUCUGCAUUGUGUUUGGGAGGAUCUCUUGGUGCCGUUCAGCGUUUACUACGUGGUGGUCGUGGUUAGUUAUUGCUUUCAGGUUAGGGACGCAGGGAAUCUAUUGACCAGGACGGGUUUUAGUCUUCCCGGUGUUGACGUUGACGACUAUGUGGUUAAAUACAAGAGUGCGCUGGAUCUUAUAGACCAUCUUCGUGCCAUGGGUGAAACCAACGCUCUUCUCCACAGAACAAG